rnacentral:piRNA from 3 species
UUUGUGACUAUUGAGAAGGGUGUUG